UACAGAGGUCUCAAGCGUUUGUUCGGAUUCAUUGGGCGUAAAGGGUGCGUAGGCGGCGCGGUAAGUCGGGUGUGAAAUCUCGGAGCUUAACUCGAAAACUGCAUUCGAUACUGCCGGUGCUUGAGGACUGGAGAGGAGACUGGAAUUUACGGUGUAGCGGUGAAAUGCGUAGAUAUCGUAAGGAAGACCAGUGGCGAAGGCGGGUCUCUGGACAGUUCCUGACGCUGAGGCACGAAGGUCAGGGGAGCAAAACGGG
rnacentral:rRNA from 1 species